rnacentral:lncRNA from 1 species
UUUUUUGUUUUAAGAUUUUAUUUAAAUUUUGAUCUAGGACAUCAUCUCUUGCUGAGUUAGAUUAUGUCCUUAUGUGUAUUUUCACAAAUAUAUCAAUCCCCUUGGCAUAGUUUUAAAAAGUUUGUAUACAAUUUUUAAAGGUUACUUUCAAGUUAGAGUUACAUCAAAAUAUUGGCUAUAUAUUUCCUGUGUUGUACAAUAAAACCUUGAGCUCGUCUUACAAUAGUUUGCAUAUUUGCUCUGUGCAUAUCUAGAAUGCCCUUCUGCUGAUUUUUUCUAAAAUGAGGUAUUGCUGAAGUAAAUAUUAUGUUAAGUUUCACCUGUACAACAUGAUGAUGCACAAUUUUUAAAUGUUAUAUCCCAGUUAUAGUUAUUAUAAAAUAUUGGCUAUAUUCCCUGUGUGGUACUGUAUAUCCUAGUAGCUUAUUUUUACAUGGUAGUUUGCGACAUGUAAUCCCCUACUACUAUCUUGCACCUCCCUCCUCUCCUUGGUAGCCACUAGUUUGUUCUCUACAUCUGAGUCUGUUUCUUUUUUGUUAUAUUCCCUAAUUUGUUUUAUUUUUACAUUUCACGUAUAAGUAAUAUUAUGCAGUAUUUGUCUUCCUGUUUUACUUAUUUCGCUUAGCAAAAUACCCUGAAAUCUAUCCAUGUUGUUGCAAAUGGCAAAAUUUCAUUCUUUAAUUACAGCUGAGUAUAUACACAUGCACACACACACACACAUAUGUAUACAUGCACACAUACAUGCUCUACGUCUUCUUUGUCCAUUCAUCUGUUUCAUCUGUUGGCACACAGGCUGCUUCCAUAUCUUAGCAAUUGUAAAUACUAGGGGGUGUUUAUCUUUUUGAAUUAGUAUUUUGGGUUUGUUUUGUUUUCAAUAUAUAUACUCAGGAGUAGAAUUCCUGGGUUAUAUGGUAAUUCCGUUUUUAGUUUUUUGAAAAACCCUCAUACUAUUUCCCACAUUGGCUGCACCAACUUACAUUCCCACCAACAGUUUAUAGGGGUUCCCUUUUUCCACAUCCUUGUUAACAUAUGUUAUUUGUGUUCUUUUUGGUGAUAGCCAUUCUGACAUGUGUAAGGUGAUAGCCCAUUGUGGUUUGGAUUUGCAUCUCCCAGAUGACUAGUGAUGCUGAACAUCUUCUCAUGGGCCUAUCGGCCAUCCUCAUGUCCUCUUUGGAGAAAUUUCUAUACAGGUCUUCUGUUCAUUUUUUAACUGGCUUGAUUGGAUUUGUUGAUGUUGACUUGUGUCAGUAAUUCAUAUAUUCAUUAUUAAGUCCUUAUUGUUCAUAUCAUUUGCAAAAAAAUUUCUCCCAUUCAGUAGGCUGUCCUUCAUUUUUUUUGUGUGGAUGGUUUUCUUUGCUUUAAAAGUUAAUUANCCCCCAUUUGUUUAUUUUUGCUUUCAUUUCCUUUGCUUUGGGAGACAGAGUCAAAAGAAAAAAUAUUGCUAUAAUUUGUGUCCAAGAGUAUUUUGUCUAUAUUUUCUCUAGGAGAUUUAGGGUUUCCAAUCUAAAAUUUAGGUUUUUUAAUCCAUUUUGAGCUUAUUUAUAUAUGAUGUUAGAGAAUGUUAUAAUAUCAUUAUUUUACAUGUAGCUAAUUUUCUGAACACCAAUUAUUGAUGAAAAUAUCUUUUUUCUGUUGUAUAUUCUUAGUUUCCUUUGUCAUAAACUAAUUGACCAUAAGUGGGUAGAUUUAAGUCUGGGCUCUCUAUCCUGCUCCACUCAUGUAUGUGUAUGCUUUUGUGUCAAUACCACACUGUUUUUAUUAAUCUAGCUUUGUAUUUUAGUCUAAAGCAUG